GAUUCUUCCCAAUUCUACCGCCAUCAUUCUGGUUCAAGCUACCUGUAGAGACGGGGUUUCACCAUGUUAGCCAGGAUGGUCUCGAUCUUCUGACCUCGUGAUCCAUCCGCCUCAGCCUUCCAAAGUGCUGGGAUUACAGACGUGAGCCACCGCGCCCGGCCAAAAGAUCCAUAAACUUUGAGUCACCAGAUAGAGCUAACAUUUACCACAGAGGAAGGUUUAAGAGGAGCCUUUUAAACUGAACUAUAUUCUAAGAGAGAUAAGGUCCUCUGGCUGGACUCAAACUCCUGGGCUCAAGCAAGCCUCCCACCUCAUCCUACAGAGUAGCUGGACCUAUAGACAGAGUCUCGCUCUGUCACCCAGGCUAGAGUACAGUGGUGUGAUCUUGACUCACUGCAACCUUUGCCUCCUGGAUUCAAGCGAUUCUCCUGCCUCAGUCUCCCAAGUAGCUGGGACUACAAAACUCCUUUCCUUAGGCUGGAUUUGCUCCCACAAAGCCCAUAACUUGAAUUAUCACUUAGGUCUUUGGACCUAAUUUCUAAGAAAGGUAAAGCAUGCACAAAGCAAAUUUCGGUUGUAUCCUAGAAAUGAUAGCCAUAUUCAGGAUACUGGUUACACCUGAGGAAACAUCUCCAUGAAAGUUAAGCAUAUACAGGACCUCACUUUGUUACCCAGGCUAGAGUGCAAUGGUGUGACCACAGCUCACUGCAGCCUCAACCUCCUGGGCUCACUUAA
rnacentral:antisense_RNA from 1 species